rnacentral:rRNA from 1 species
UACGUAGGGUGCGAGCGUUAAUCGGAAUUACUGGGCGUAAAGCGUGCGCAGGCGGGCUUUUAAGCCAGGCGUGAAAUCCCCGGGCUUAACCUGGGAAUGGCGUUUGGGACUGGGAGUCUGGAGUGCGGCAGAGGAGACUGGAAUUCCUGGUGUAGCAGUGAAAUGCGUAGAUAUCAGGAGGAACACCGAUGGCGAAGGCAGGUCUCUGGGCUGACACUGACGCUCAUGCACGAAAGCGUGGGGAGCAAACAGG